CAGAAAGUGAGAAGAAGAGACCUCACGAAGUUUGUCCAGGCCACCGGUGGCAGCUCGAGGAGUUGCCCAAGACACUUUAUUCGGCGCUGGACUGAUUCAUCUCCUGCUUGGAUGUGUCGUGGCGGGACCAACAGAGAGGCAGAUGGCUGAAUGGAGCUGGGAAGGUGGCUCUGAUGGACCUGGGACCGUGAGCAUCCUCGCUGGAACUUUUCUGUCCCUGCCACCUCCCUGUUACCCGCAUGUCCCAUGGGGGCAGUCUCCCCAGCGUAAUGUCUGCUUAGAUGCUGCUCCUCCACGUUUGCUUUGGUUUGGUGGCAGCAGACAUGGCCCUGUCUCUGGGGGAACACGUCGAGGUUUGUCUCGCCGCUUCCAACCGGGACAGCCUGAAGGCCUGGUGUGAAACAGCAAACACCUUGACGUGAAUCCAGCGCCCCUCUUCCGGGCGAAACCCAGCCUGACAUCACUCCACGUCCGUGUGAGACUCUGCUCUGCGAUCUCAGUGCAGUUUGUAGCUCACCUUCUUUCCACUCAGCAGGGAAUUGGAGCUGAUUUAUUGACUGAGUCCCAGCCACUCGAGAACUAACACAGUCUUUUCCAGGGCCUGCGCCUGGGCUUUCAUGUGUAGGUCCCAAACCUCUCUCCUGUAGUCACUUUGCAACAGCCUUGCCUGGAGGAAGGAGCUCCAGAUGUGGGAGGAAAAGAUGAGGAAUGACUAUGGAGAGCAACAGAAACUCUUGUGAUCUCUUGGCCUCCUUUCAGCCCCAUACCACACCAGGCCGUGGCCUUGUACCCACACAGUCAGACAGGCAGAGGAAGGAUGAAGAAGGCACAGUCAUCAAAAAGCCCAUCCAUCCUUCCAUCCAUCCCUUCAACCAUCCUGCCCCUGCUGUUUGACCGGCACUGAGGUAGGGCCACCUCUUGCCUUGAACCUGGCGAUGCAGGUGUGGUGUGGUUCUUACUGCGGGGAGUGAGACGCGUUAACCGGAGAGGAGAGAACAACCUGAAGUGUUCAUUCAUCUGUUUACGGACUUUGAAGUGCUCAUUCAUCCAUUUAUAGACUUUUUUAAUGGGGCUUUUGUUUGCCUGCAUCUUUGUUUUGACUCUCCCUGCUGACACGCACGCAGAAGUUUCAAGACUGAGACAAACCGGAAAUUCCAGGACAGGGAGGAAGAAAAUACCCCCACACUCCUUUUCACAUCCUCAAAACUGGCGAGGUUGCUAAGUGAUAGCAGUUCUGCGCUCCACUAACACACUUCAACAACCUAAACUCUUAAAAGCAAGAAAAUGGCUAUUUAAGAACAUGAUAAUUCAUAUGUUCCUCGGUAGUGCCCAACAGGCUGUUCUGAGCGCAACUUAAAUUCAGAGAUGAGCGGUGGCUGCAUCGGGCACGUGCUGCUGUCCAUGCCCGCUUACCUGCCCAGGGAGCCACCACAGGGGUUGGCAUCACCAAUGCCAGGCAGGCAGGAGCUUGCUGUGAGCUCCAGCCUGGAACUGGAGACCACAUUCGUUCGAGCCACAGCUCCUCCAGUGCCCAUUGCUGCCCCAGACCUUCCACCAGCUCCCUGCUGGCAGCAGAGAAUGAAUGGAAUCAGCCUGGCCCUUUUCCCUCAUCUUUCCACUGCACCAGCAGCCAGUCAGGUGCCACAGGACCGGAGAGGAGGCCGAGCCACUGCAGGGCAGCCCGC